rnacentral:lncRNA from 1 species
AGAGUGCUAAGGAUUGAGGGAUUAAGAGGAGGUGAUUGUAUUAUUCCUCUUUUCAGAUAAUGGAGAGAGAGAAGAGAACAGCAGUAGCCGUUGCCAGAAAUAUUGAGAUCCAGGUUCCAGUCCAAUAUGCACCAUUCAGCCUGGUUGCAGCAUGUUAAGCAGCCCUGGAGGCAGCAGUUGUUGGUGGCAUAUAUAAUGAGUGCUGGGUGUUAAGGAAGCAAUGGUGAAGGAGAGACACCCUCCCGACCCUCAUGGUGCUUGCAGCCUAGUGGAGCUAUGAAAAGAUAGGCAAGUGAGUCCUAUGAUUGGAGAAGUAAUGAGAAGUAAUGAGAAGCGUCUUCUAAGCAUAGGGGUAAAGACUGCAAAGACCCUGAAGGGAGAAAGUAAUGGCCAUUCUGAGAACUGAAAGUUUGCACAGUGCACAGAGGGCAUGAAGAACGAAGGAAAGAGAUUUUUUUUUUUUUUUUUUUGCCCAAGAUGGCAAGUUGCUUAAAACCUAAAGCUCCUUUCAAUUCUUUACAAUCCAAGAUUAUAUGGAAUGGACUGGGAACAAAGAGAGGGACUGGCAUUUAAAGUCUUUUAUACACUUUGGAACAAAUGUUAUUCUCCAUUCAUCCUGACACUAAAUUGGUUAGCCAAACCCAAAGAUCUACUAAUAAUCCUGCUUUGGCAUGGGAGAAUGAGUGAGAUAAGGAGGCAAUAGAGGAGAUGAAUCGACAAAUGGAAGGAAUAGAAUUCUGGUUGAUGUCCUUGUCUCUAAGCUGUAGCAGCAAGUAUUUAUCCUAAAUGUUUCAAUUCAUGCCAUCACAUCUUUGAAAACUGGCAAUUCAACCUUGCCUUGAGCAUUUCCAUGUACAGGAAACACAUGAUCUCUUAAGGAGUCCAUUUCACCGUCAGACGGUUCUGAAGGAUGUGAGUGGUUCUCAACAUUGAAACCAGUGCUGGCUCCUGGUUUGAAUUUCUGUAGCCACUCCAGUCUCGUUCUUGUGCUCACCAUUCCUCCAAAUUGGCCGCCUAUGACUUCUAUGACAAUAAAUCCAAUGGACCCUU